rnacentral:lncRNA from 1 species
GCAUUUUGUGGACUGUGGAAAUCUGACCUAACAUAGAUAUUCCUGUUUUCAGUGAGGUAAUAUUCUUUUCUUAAUCCUGAAAAAAUAAAUAAAUAAAUAAAGGGAGGAUUUUAGUUCAUCACUAAGAAGAAAGUAAUGCAUCUAAUUUUGGCAGAUGUAUUAGAUCUCAGAGGCCCAUGAACAAAUUCCAUUUCACUUUGCUUUCUUCUCUGCCAAAUUAGCGACCGACUGGCUAAAAUCCUCAGUGUUUCUUGAGAGGGGAAGUAAUUCAUUCUUUCUCCCCUUUGUAAAAGAAGGCCAUUUAUAAUAUUCCGGUUAAUCUUUAUUUCUCUGCAGAAACUAUAAUGAAGUCACAGAUCAAUCUCAAAUGCAAUUUUUAAAAAUUUUAAGUUAAAGUUUACAUAUAAUAAAAUGUACCUAUUUAAGAUAUAUAUCAGUAACUUUUGACAAAUAUACAUAUACCUAUGUAUAUACACCAUAUAUAUUUCAUACACUUCAGAAAGGUUUUUGUGCCCCAUCCUAUAUAAUUCCUACUCUCACCUUUGGCAUGAGACAACGGCUGUUCUGCUUGUCUUAUAUAUUUGUCUUUUCUAGAAUUUUAUCUAAACGGCAGCAUACAACAUGUACUUUUUUGUGUCUGGCUUCUUUUGCUUGGCAUGAUACUUUUGAGAUUUAUUCCUCUUCACUCAUUCCUUUUUGAUUCCUAAGCUCUAUUUUCUUGGGUGAAUGUGCCACAAUUUAUGUAUUUAUUAACAUUUUGAUAUUUGGUUUAUUUUUAGUUUUGAGCCAUUAUGAAUAAAGCUGCUCUGAAUCCCUGUGUAUAAGCCUUUUGUUUGGUCAUAUUGUUACGAAUCACUUUUCAUAUUGUUUCAUGUCAGUUGUUCACCCUUGUUCACUGUAUCAACCAUGUAAAAAUCAAUUUCAAAAAUAUCUCCAGGAUGGAGGAAGAUUGGUUUCUAUGCUGAAUGGGGAAAUACAAUUAAAUAUAGAAAUGCCUUCUUUUUGAAAUAAAACCACUUUUAUAUGCAUCGUUUCCUUCCUCAUGUCAUAGUUUUGUAAUAAGUAGGAAAGAUACUACUAUUACUCUUAGCUUACAAACUUUCACAUUGGGUCUUAGAGGAAUUAAAUGAUUUGCACCCAGUUAAUAAGUGCUACUAUCAAAACCAGAACCUGCCUUACAGCUUCUCAAUCUGGUGCACUUUCCACUCUGCAUUGUAGAAAAAAAAUUUUUUUUAAACUUCCUUCAACACAUAGUUAUUAAGUUCCUUCUCCUUGCCUAACACUGUGUUAGAGUAGAGUAAGUCAUAUAAAAACAACAACAAAAAUGCAUGUGUUCCCUCAAGGAAUUUAUUAAAUCGAGGAGACAAUACAUGUACAUGAAAGAAAUCUAGUGCAUUUGUAAGGCAAUUAGUUAAGGUUGUUAGAAACCUGCAUUCUGUGCUGCAUUGAAAACGGGUGUUGAAUUAAUAGAUCGCUAAAUAAAGGGGUAGGGAGUUAUCUGGAAGUGGUUCAUUAAGGAAAUGAUUUUUGUGCUAGACAUUGAAAAACAAAAAUGUGGAUUGAGAAAGAAUAGGUAGGAAGAAAAGCCAGGUCUGUAUGUCUGUGUGAUGAGGAGGAAUUUGGGCUAAGCAGGAUGGAGAGGAUUUUCUAUCAUAUAGAAUCCAUAGGGUGGGGCCAGUUGCAUAUCAAGUUGAGUUAUAUGGAAGUUGCUCAGUGGUUGGCAAAGAGACAUUGUAGAUUCUUAAGCAACAGGAGAUAGUGAGUGACGUGGUACAAGUGGUGUUUAGAAAGGAUGAAUAGAUCACAAGCUUGCAGAAUGAGAUGGAUCCAGGAAUGAUCAUCAAAGAGGCUCAUUGAAAACUCUUGUAACCUAGGUAUGAGGUGAUGAAGACCCAGGCCAAAGAAAGGAAAAGAACGGUGUAAAUGUUUUCAUAAAUACAGACAAACUAUUACAGCUUGUCGCCAAGUGGUAUCCUUAUUCGGAGGCAUUCCAACAAAUUUUCUCUACAAACUAAAUGUCCUUGUGCUUAUAGAACCAGGUUUCACAGCCAUAGAAAUGAUUAUAAAGCACUGCUUUAUAGGACUUAAUUUUGUCCUGGAGCUUAAUUCCUUUUACUACAAUUCACUGCCUAUCAACUUAGCAAAGGAUGCACUGACUUGCUUAUUUCAGCUUCUCUCUUUGGAGUAUAGUUUAAAAUAGAACCCAUCAGUCUUAAUCUCAAGUAUUUUCCAAAAUGUUUCCCAAAUUAAUAAGUGGCAGGAUUAGAAGCAGUGACCCUGUAGGGGAAUAUGACAAAAAUAGCUCACCCAUAAUUAGAAAUGAAAUCUCCUUUCGUUGAGCAGAAGGAGAUUGGCCAAACCCAGAAGCUUUUCCCAUUGUGCUGUGUUGAGGGGUCCUUAAGGCAUGUGCUCCUUAAGCUCCCUUUCCUAUGGCCUGGUGAUCUGGUGGAUACUUUUAUUUUUUUCCCCAUUUUUCAGGCUGCCAACUUCAGCCUUAUUCACCAUGCUCUGGGCACACAGGAAGUUGCAUCCUGGUAAUUAAAUUAACUGUCCUCAUAUGCCAACCUCAACUAAAGGUACAUAUGGAACCCUCCCUGACAACACAUAAACUCUCUAGAAAGCAAUCUAGAGCUGUAAAUUUUGAUUGACUUGGAAGUCAAUGAAGCUCUUUCCCAGAAAUGUAUACUGAUUAAGUUACUCUUAUCUUUCCGAAAUGAGUCCAGUGAUGGUUUCUAUGCAUUACCAUAAGGAAGACCCCACAAACUUGGGGAAAAUAUAAACUUCACAUCCUACUCUACAUGCAUAUGCUCUAUACACAAUAUUCAUUUGAUCUCAAACAUGUGACUCGUCUUUCUCUGCCUCAGGUUCUUCCUCUGUAAAGUUAGAAUAAUACUGGUGCUUGCCCCAAUGAGUCAAGAAAUAUUAAUAAUGUGAUUGAUUUAAAGUGCUAAGUAUUAUGCCUGACACAUACCAAUGACUUAAAUAUCAAUGUUGAUUUUUGACCUGGUGUUCUGGCUACUAUUUUUCUUGCUGUUGCUGUAGUCACUUCAGCCCACACUUUUAGUAAUUCUUCUCAAGAUAUUUUCAGGGAAAUAGGGGAAACUGAAAUAUAAACAUCCCAUGGCAGAAUUUUGAAAGCUCUCUAUAUAGGUACAAGCAAUGUACUAUGGAAACAGCAGAAGAAAGAAUUCUGCAGGGGCACUCGGAGACCAUUGGCUGGGUCAGAUACAUUAAAGCUGAGCUUUUGAAGGAAGAAUAUUUAAUUUAAUCCCAGGCGAAGAAAGGCUGCUGGAGAUUUUUGAAGGUAGAGUCUCACCUGUGUUUUAUCUGCAACAUUGUGGAAAAAGGGGCAGUACAAGAAACAAAUUAGAGGCAUGGAAAGGAUAGCAAACUAGACAUGCUUAUUUUGUGUUGAUUGCCUUUGUGAGAUGAUAAAUCAGAAGUACAAGGGAGGCAGAGAAGCAGGAGGGAGACUGGAGUGAUAUGGUGAAGGAUUAGGAGAAGCCCUUGAUCUCCAUACCAAGAUCAACGCAACAACACAUCCUGCAGUUGAACACCCCUCCAAUAUACAUCCUGGAACUCCUCCACUUUUCUCCCUCUUUCAUUAUUUGAACUCUCAGCAGCAUUUCUCAUAUUGGACCCCUCUCCUUGAUUUUCUUCCUGCUCUUGACUCUCAUGACACAUUCUGCUUUUCCUCCCCCGGCUUUGUUCCCCUCUCACACUUCCAGAUGUCUGCUAUUCUGCUUGCCCAAAGAAGGCUCCAUUCUUGGCAUUUUCUAUCCACACACUCCUCUACUUAUAUGCCAUAAAACACCACCUGCAUCCUAAUGAGUGCCAGGUUUAUAUCUCCUUUGUGAACUUAUCCCAAACUCAAGACUCAAGUCCUUAACUUCCAAUCUGGUAUUUCAGCUUGGAUGUUGUCAUAGGCAUGCUGAUAUUAACAUCUUAGCCAUAUUCUCUUCUCCAAGCUUGUUCUUCCCUAAGAUAUACCAUCUCACAAAUGGCACCACAGCCACUUUAUGGCUGAAAUUCAAGAUCUAGAAUUUUGCCUUGAUUUGUUCCCUUCUUCCAGCGUCUAUAUUCAGUUUUUCAGUGAGAGCUGUCAAUAUUACCUCCACAAUUUCCCAAACUCUGUCUCUGCUCUCCAUCUCUAUGGUUCUCCCCAUUAUAACUUGUUCUAGAGUAAAAAUUUACAAACUGCUGUAACUCUCCUCUUGACCUUUACAAUCCAUGAACUACUCAAGAGCCAGAGUGGUCUCUUAAAAAUCUAAUUCCUGCUAUGUUAUUUCCUUUCAUAGAAGUCUUCACUUAAUACCUAAACUCUUACCCAACAUCAAAAGUCCUAUUGCUCUAAUUUCAUCUGCUUUUAUUCUCCCAUCUCCCACUCCCAACUUUUAUUCUUGGUCUUGAAUAUAUCAACCUUUCCUGCUAAGUCUACUUUGUGGAUGCUUUUCUUAUUGGCCACUGCUUCCUUUUGGUGUCUUCUCUUCAGAGAAAACUUGGUUCCUAAUCUCCCAAUCUGAAGUCCCUUCCAACUCUCCCUGAAUUGCAUCACCCUCCAGGAACCAGAUAGUGUUAUCUAUUCUUUUAUUCAUUUUCCUCUCAAUUUCCUCCAGUUAGAAAGUAGACUUUAUUGGAGAAGCAAUCUUGUCUUUUGUUUUCAAAACUCUUUCCUGACAUCCAAAAUAGGGCCUAAAAUGGCCACUGUUUAACAAAUAAUAUUUAAAUGUGUGAUUGUUUAAUACCACCAUCCUGUAUCCAACACACCAUUCUUUCUUGCUUGGAUUGCAACAAGCCUGCUGACUGUUUGUGUCACUUUAAUUUUCAUCCUUCCAGUCUAGAACCUUUAAGAACUGCGAUGGAAUUAUGGCAGCCUCUUCUCUAACAUAAACACAUACCAUACAGGACAGGACCCACAUCUACUUCUCUAGCUCAUCCCUGGCCACACUCCCUUUAAGCUCGGUGUACCUCUUCUUCAUCUUAUUUUUUUUUCUAAAUGUACAAGUAGUAGAGAAUGGUUGGAGAUGGCCUGACUACAUUUUUCAGUCAUCAGUAUUCAAGAAUGCUGAUAGUUUUCUACUCUUGCAACCUCAUCAUAUUGCCUAAGAACCCCUGCACCAGGAUGUUUUUGCAGGCUCCUUUUUAAUUUGUAAAGAGAAGGAACGGGAGGCCCAAAGGUGAUUACCAGUCAGAACAGCUCAUCAUUAAAAAGGUCUGAGACUUGUGGCAGGCGGAUGACUGUAAGAUACAGGUCAAAUGGAUUUUGCACUAUUCAGGCUCAGGCUGAAUUACGAAAAUUAAAUAGCACUCUAAUUAACCAGAGUCAUUAACACAUAAUGCAGAUCUCUGGAACUCCAGCUGAUUGUGUUUUGUUUUUUUGUUUGUUUGUUUGUUUUAA